UACGAGGGGGGGCGAGCGUUGUUCGGAAUUAUUGGGCGUAAAGGGUGCGUAGGCGGUUCCGCAAGUCCUGUGUGAAAUCUUCGGGCUCAACUCGAAGUCUGCACGGGAAACUGCGGGGCUUUGAGUGUGGGAGAGGUGAGUGGAAUUCCUGGUGUAGCGGUGAAAUGCGUAGAUAUCAGGAGGAACACCUGUGGCGAAAGCGGCUCACUGGACCAUAACUGACGCUGAUGCACGAAAGCUAGGGGAGCAAACAGG
rnacentral:rRNA from 1 species